rnacentral:rRNA from 1 species
GAUGAACGCUGGCGGCGUGCCUAAUACAUGCAAGUCGAGCGAACGGAUAAGGAGCUUGCUCCUUUGAAGUUAGCGGCGGACGGGUGAGUAACACGUGGGUAACCUACCUAUAAGACUGGAAUAACUUCGGGAAACCGGAGCUAAUGCCGGAUAACAUUUGGAACCGCAUGGUUCUAAAGUAAAAGAUGGUUUUGCUAUCACUUAUAGAUGGACCCGCGCCGUAUUAGCUAGUUGGUAAGGUAACGGCUUACCAAGACGAUGAUACGUAGCCGACCUGAGAGGGUGAUCGGCCACAUUGGGACUGAGACACGGCCCAA